rnacentral:rRNA from 1 species
GAUGAACGCUGGCGGCGUGCCUAAUACAUGCAAGUCGAGCGAACAGACGAGGAGCUUGCUCCUCUGACGUUAGCGGCGGACGGGUGAGUAACACGUGGAUAACCUACCUAUAAGACUGGGAUAACUUCGGGAAACCGGAGCUAAUACCGGAUAAUAUAUUGAACCGCAUGGUUCAAUAGUGAAAGACGGUUUUGCUGUCACUUAUAGAUGGAUCCGCGCCGCAUUAGCUAGUUGGUAAGGUAACGGCUUACCAAGGCAACGAUGCGUAGCCGACCUGAGAGGGUGAUCGGCCACACUGGAACUGAGACACGGUCCAGACUCCUACGGGAGGCAGCAGUAGGGAAUCUUCCGCAAUGGGCGAAAGCCUGACGGAGCAACGCCGCGUGAGUGAGGAAGGUCUUCGGAUCGUAAAACUCUGUUAUUAGGGAAGAACAAAUGUGUAAGUAACUAUGCACGUCUUGACGGUACCUAAUCAGAGAGCCACGGCUAACUACGUG